AGGUGGCCAGGGCUGCGCGCGGCGGCAGGCUGGGGCUGUGGCGGAGGCGCGGCAGCGGUGGCCGGCGGCUGCUUGAAGGGGCCGCGUGGAUCUGCCGCCGGGGCUUCGGAUCGGCGUGGUCGUCUGAGCCCCGAGUUUUCGACGCCGAGAGCUUGGCGAUCCAGAGGGUGCUGGUCUCCGUCGGUGGACAUUCGAUGACAAAU